GUGCAGCAGGCAAGAAUUUUUCUCAAUGGGGGAAACCCUGAAGGAGCGACGCCGCGUGGAGGAUGAAGGUCUUCGGGUUGUAAACUCCUGUCAUUUGGGAACAAGUUGCACACGUUAACUGCGUGGGCAUUGAUAGUACCAGAAGAGGAAGAGACGGCUAACUCUGUGCCAGCAGCCGCGGUAAUACAGAGGUCUCAAGCGUUGUUCGGAUUCAUUGGGCGUAAAGGGUGCGUAGGUGGCGCCGUAAGUCAGGUGUGAAAUUUCGGAGCUUAACUCCGAAACUGCAUUUGAUACUGCGGUGCUUGAGGACUGGAGAGGAGACUGGAAUUUACGGUGUAGCAGUGAAAUGCGUAGAGAUCGUAAGGAAGACCAGUGGCGAAGGCGGGUCUCUGGACAGUUCCUGACACUGAGGCACGAAGGCCAGGGGAGCAAACGGGAUUAGAUACCCGUGUAGU
rnacentral:rRNA from 1 species